rnacentral:lncRNA from 1 species
UCAAAUAAUGUUCGGAAGAAAAAAAAUCCUUUGUUGUAAGUCGCCAUAUGUGCUUAAAAAUAUAUAAGCUUUUCCCUAGGCAAAUAAUACCAUAAUAUCUAUUACAAAUGAAGCACCAUGUUGUGUUCAACACAAAAAGAAAAAACAUAAAGUUUGUCAUCUUCAUCAAGUUGAACUUAAUUUUAACAGAACUUGUCAGCAUCUUGAUCCUUAAAUUGAUGCCCAUGUUGUUGAGCCUACAAAAAGAACAAAAGAAAAUGUAUUAAAUUAUUAAAAAUCAACGUGCUUAAAAUUGACAUAGUUAAAUAUACAAUGUAGUAACAAUACUUGUAGCAGAUCCAAAUGAUUCAAGUUGGAUAUAUGAUGUUGUUGUGUUCCAUAAACACUAAGCUGGUCAGUAUUUGGUACUUAACAUCCACUUCCCCAAAAUUAAUUUGGAUGACCCUACAAAUACAAAAUUCAUUAAAAAAAGGUUAAAUUUUAAACUAUUAACAAGUAUAACAUUGAAUAAAAGUUAAGGAAAAACUAGUAGUCGGCGUAUAUUGCUUUCCGAAGUACCAAAAUAUAUUGAGUUAAUAUUAGUUACCAUAAUUUGAUAAGUAUAGAAUAAAUUAUAAAUGAUAAAUUAUACCUGCAUUUGGCUUCUAUCAAAUAAAGGAGUGCCAAAAUAUGACAUCAUAUAUCCACCACUCGAACCUUGACUCGAAUAACACUGUGCAAUUGAAAUAAAUCUAAAAAAUUACAUAUCAAGCAAAAGAGAAAAAAUUAUGCAAAAACCAAGGGACUAGGAGGGUAAAAAAAUUGAAUAUUAAAAAAUAUUUUAGUCAAAAGGGAGAUAAAUAAAACCUGCAUUUGGUAAACUAUACCUGCAUUUGAUUUCCAGGAAAUAAAGGAGAGCCAAAAUGUGGCAUCAUAUAUCCAUCACUAGAACCUUGACUCAGAUGACACUGUGCAGUUGAAAAUAAAUCUAAAAAGUUAAAUUUGUACCCUAACCAAAAUAAGUUGAGUAACUUUUUUUGAUAGAUAAUUAUAAUAUAAGUAGAGUAACUUUUUUGAUAGAUAAUUAUAAUAAGUAGAGUAAACUCGAUUUUAAGUAUUCUGGUUCUGAUUUUGCAGGGCCAUUUGUGUUGUAUUUUGGUUAUGGAUUAUUAGAUGCUAUGUUCCAGAGCAUGGUUUAUUGGGUUAUUGGGGCUUUGGCUGAUGAUUCUGCUAUCCUUAGCACAGGUAAAUUUUCAUGUUAUUGAAUAAUAAGGCCAUUCACUUAUUGUUUUAUUUUUACUGUGUUUAACAUUUUUUUGGGGCAUAUAUGCUUCAGGUAUAAUGGAUUCUACAAGGGAGUGCAGAAUGCAGUGAGUUUUUUUUACUUAACAGAGAAUUUAUAUUUUUGAAACUUGUAUUUUCAAUUCAAAUGUAAAUGUAGUCUUUCUUUAGUAUAUCAAUGGAUGAUUGAGAACUAAAAUUAAGAACUAAAAUUAGAUAGAUAAUUAGAUUAAUAAAAUGCAAUAGUGAAGAUUAUUUACACAGUAGAUUAAAAUCUCAAACAAUUAAUCUCAUAAGUUUUUGUUAUUCUUAAUACCUGAACAUUACUUCUCUCUUGUGUUCCCAUUUCAUGAUCUUGAGUAGUACUUAAAGUAGGCAAACCAAUUUCACCUGCAUCGACUUCAAUUUCUUGUGCCACUUGAGAAUUCUUUCAUUAAAAAGAAAUUGAUGAAUUAGACAAAUUAUUCAGAUAAAAAAAUAUACAUAAUAAAACAAAGAAACUAAUAAAAUAGGUUAUUAGCUAAAAUUAAAUAGGCAAGUACCUGUUUUCCUUUUCCUUUUUUUUUGCUAGUUUUGUUCCCUUCCUGUCUCUUUCUUAUUUUCAAUUUCCUAAUCACUUGAUCUGUUUUAGAUUCCUUUCGUUUUGACACUGGUCGCCCUUUACUUCGAGUUACUAAAGGACUAAGCACCUGAAUACAUUCCUUUGAUGUCCCAUUAAUUACUUCAUUAGCUAUUGUCACUGUACCCGGUGUGUGAUGAGAUGUUUGACCACUUUCACUACUUGACACAUUUAGACUCAACUUUUCCUUCAGCUUAUCUAAAACUGUCAUCACAGUCAUACAACUUUCUUCAGUUUUUGAUGCCAUUGAUGCAACUUCAUAAAAAGAAGUUUGUAAUUUAUCAUAACGUUGUGCUUCAGGAUUUCCACUCAAUUCAUCGUAAAUACAUUUAAUAAAUGUAUAUCUUCGUUUCGAGUCCUUACUCCACCGUGGAAGAAUAUAUUUUGAUGGCAAUAUUUUAAUUUUCUUUAUCAUCAUGAGCACAGAAAAGGCAUGCCUGCAGAGGAUUCCUCUAAAUUCAAAUAAGCAACAAUUGCAUUGUACCUCCCAUUCAUCUUCAUUAAAGUAAACAUGGAAGAUUACUUCCUUUGUAUCAGCAUCAAUUUCUAUCUCGUCAACAACUUGAUAUGUAGAAAUUGCAUCUUCUUGUUUAAGAAGAGAAGGAUGACAAUACAUUUUCCUCCUAAUCUCAUCUUGAACCUCCUUGAACUUUGAAUUGGUAUAACUAUCCUGAAAUUGCUUCUCAAUAGCAUAAUGAGUUAUGCAUGGAACUCUUGAAGUUAGAGAAAUAAAAUCUUCUGUGUUCUCCUUUUCAACCUUACUUUUCAAGGCCUCAUCAUAUUGAUCAACAAAUUGCUUCAAUGUAGUCUUUGGCCCCACAUAACCAUCAAAAAAGGCAUUCAUACUUUCACUACGUUGUGUAGUAGACAUUCCCGCCCAAAAUAUAUUUUUCACAUAUGUUGGUAUCCAAUGAUGUCGUUCAUAAUACAACCAUUGCAACCAUUCAUUAUCUUGAAGAUUAUGCACCUUAAGUAAUCUUUGCCAACUAUCUUCAAAUUCAUCACGACUCAAGGAGUCAUAUACACAACGGUCUAUAUCCCUCUUAAUUGCCUCAUAUUGAGAAUAUCCUUUAAAUUUCUCAGGAAUUUUCUUCAUUAUAUGCCAUAAACAAAACCUAUGUUUAGUUUCAGGGAAUACUAUUUCAAUUGCUCUCUUCAUAGCUUGGUCUUGAUCAGUUAUAAUUGCUUUUGGAGCUCGACCUGACAUACACUUCAUCCAUGAUUCAAACAACCAAACAAAAGUAUCAACAUUCUCGUUUGAUAUUAGACCACACCCAAGAAGUAUUGAUUGACCAUGAUGAUUCACUCCUACAAAUGGAGCAAAUGGCAUUUUAAAUAGAUUUGUCAAGUAUGUUGUGUCAAAUGUUAUAACAUCCCCAAAAUAUUCACAUGUGGCUCUACUUCUUGCAUCCGCCCAAAACACAUUCCUCAAUCGAGAGCUAUCAUCCACAUCCAUUACAUAAUAAAACCGGUCAUCCUUCUCUUGCAUUCUAACAAAAUAGUCACGAAGUGCUUUAGCACCUCCCACCCCAAGUCGAAGCCGCCUUGCUUUGUCAACAUGAUUUCUACAGUCUUUCUCUCCAAAUGAAAGCUUCUCAAAUCCUCCUGCUUCAAUAACAAUAGAUUUAUAAUUUUUACUGAUACGAAUUCCAGCUUUAUCAUUUAACUCAAGCCUUCUUUUCACAUAAGAGUCCAUCUGCUUAUGACAUCUAAAAUAUCUAGCUUUUCCAGGACUCAAAGUAUGGACAUGGUCAAGCACAACAGUAGUCAAUGUAAACUUUCCAUCAGGACAACAAAUAGCAUUAAUCUUGGCCUUGCACCCAAGAUUUUUUUUUGGUCUCGGUUUAAGAGCAUUAGUUGCCUUACUCAUUGCCUUGCCUUGAUUAACACAUGAAAGAGUGAAAUAUUUUAAAUUCCCAUCAUGUCCAAGUUUAGAGGUUCUCUUUGACACACCAAAACCUGAUUGUUUAGCAUAUUGCGUAUAAUAUGCUCUAACUUCUUCCUCUGAAUUAAACAUCAUCCCAACCUUUGGUUCUAAAACAAUUUGAUUUGCAUCUAAAAUCUUGUUGAUCUCAUGCUUCUUUUCUUUAAUCUUUUCAAUCUCUAACUUUUGCUCAUUUUCUUCCUCAUCAUGGACAAUUUCUUCAUCUGAAGACAUGUAGUCUUCAUUGUCUGACAAUCACAUGAUUGUUUCUAUUAGAAACACUAUCCAAUUAUUUAGUUAAAAAUACAAAAGUUUAAACCAUUCAAAAGUCAAGCAUACAAAACUUAAAGAAUAAAAUUAUCAUAUGGGAUUGCAACACUGUAGUCGAGCAUAAAAUAAUACAAUAAAAUUAAAAAAUUUAGUCAUAUAAACUUUAAAAAUUAUCUUGUUGGCAUGUUUGACUACGGAUUUUAUUCUUAUCUAAAGCAGGCAUGUCUCUGUUAUCUAAAGUAGAUGAGGAAUUACCAAACAUAGAAGAAUUAGAAGCAUCAGAUACCGCAGUGGGAGCAACAUUCUCAUCAGAUGGGAUUGCAACACCGUUCUCAGCCAUGGCCAACGGCGUCAAGCAAAUUCUUCACAAACAUUUAAACAAACACAUUACAAGCAUAAGUUCACAUUGACAGAGUUAAUAAAGAUUAUCUAUUGCAAUAACCCUAAAACUCAUCACAGGUACACCCAAUUCAGCAAACAAAGCAAUCACUAGAGUAUUCAUUGACAUUGAAAC